rnacentral:rRNA from 1 species
UACAGAGGGUGCAAGCGUUAAUCGGAAUUACUGGGCGUAAAGCGCACGUAGGUGGAAUAGAAAGUUGGAUGUGAAAGCCCUGGGCUCAACCUGGGAACUGCAUUCAAAACUACUAAUCUAGAGUACAGGAGAGGGAAGUGGAAUUUCCGGUGUAGUGGUGAAAUACGUAAGAUAUCGGAAGGAACACCAAUGGCGAAGGCAACUUCCUGGACUGAUACUGACACUGAGGUGCGAAAGCGUGGGGAGCAACAGG